AUUGAACGCUGGCGGCAUGCCUUACACAUGCAAGUCGAACGGCAGCGCGGGAGCAAUCCUGGCGGCGAGUGGCGAACGGGUGAGUAGUGCAUCGGAACGUGCCCAGUUGUGGGGGAUAGCCCGGCGAAAGCCGGAUUAAUACCGCAUGAGACCUGAGGGUGAAAGCGGGGGAUCGAAAGACCUCGCGCGACUGGAGCGGCCGAUGUCAGAUUAGGUAGUUGGUGGGGUAAGGGCCUACCAAGCCUGCGAUCUGUAGCUGGUCUGAGAGGACGACCAGCCACACUGGGACUGAGACACGGCCCAGACUCCUACGGGAGGCAGCAGUGGGGAAUUUUGGACAAUGGGCGCAAGCCUGAUCCAGCCAUGCCGCGUGCGGGAAGAAGGCCUUCGGGUUGUAAACCGCUUUUGUCGGGGAAGAAACGGCCUGGGCUAAUACCUUGGGCUAAUGACGGUACCCGAAGAAUAAGCACCGGCUAACUACGUGCCAGCCGCCGCAGUAA
rnacentral:rRNA from 1 species